rnacentral:rRNA from 1 species
CUACGGGAGGCUGCAGUGGGAAUUUUGCACAAUGGGGGAAACCCUGAUGCAGCGACGCCGCGUGCGGGAAGAAGGCCUUAGGGUUGUAAACCGCUUUCAAUUGUGAAGAAGGGAUGAGAGUUAAUAGCUUUCUGACUUGACGGUAGCAUUAGAAGAAGCACCGGCUAAUUUCGUGCCAGCAGCCGCGGUAAUACGAAAGGUGCAAGCGUUGUUCGGAUUUACUGGGCGUAAAGAGAUCGUAGGUGGUUUAUUAAGUCGGAUGUGAAAUCCCGGAGCUCAACUUCGGAACUGCAUUCGAUACUGGUAGGCUAGAGUUCGGGAGGGGAAAGCGGAAUUCCGUGUGUAGCAGUGAAAUGCGUAGAUAUACGGAGGAACACCUAAGGCGAAGGCGGCUUUCUGGACCGAUACUGACACUGAGGAUCGAAAGCGUGGGUAGCAAACAGGAUUAGAUACCCUUGUAGUC